CUAUUUUUUGCUCAUUAAACAAUGUCGAUAUGUGUAUAUAUACAUCGUUACUCUAGCCAAGCUACAUCAAUUUUACACACAGAUUCAUUUUUAUUUUUUAUUCGAAUUUGUACGAGAUAAAACAAAUAAUGUAUGUAGUGUAUGUUAAUACACUUAAACUAUUUAAACGACAAGUCUCCAACGACAAAUAUCGAGGCCGACCACCCCGACUCUAAUGGUACAACCGCAAAAACGAUGAUACCCAAGCCCACAAUUAAGGACGAUAAGGAGGAGAUAUUAUUAUCUGUUAUUACCGAGGGCACUGACGCGACUGCGCCAUUUAUCUCCGUGCACGUACAACCGUAGCAGAACAGACUUAUAGGUACUUCCAAAAUGGUCUCCAGAGAGAUUUAGAACCAUAUGUCGUAGUUGUGCGGGGCACCGUUCUGCCAAAAUCGGGAUUACAGAGAAGCCGGAGAUAAUUCGUGCUCGGCGGACGUUUGGGCGGACGUGUUAUGGGCUGUGACGGACAUCGUUUGCGGUGCAGAACGACAUUUACAUCGCGUGAGACCGUCCGACCGACUGGUCGGCUUCCGUCGCGGGCGAGACGUACACGAAGAUCACGCUAUACAGCGCCCCGGAUAGAUACCGGAUGUUGGGCAUUGACGCGGUGGCUUAUCGGUAAUCCACAGAUGACAUCGACGGCAGCGGCAGCAGUGUCACGGAUUUUGGCAAGUGAAUGCGGAACGGAUGUCCGGGACACCGUGUAACGGCAGUUGACUCUGCUACCGGUUGUAAGGACGUCUUGCAGCAAGCCGCACUGUUUCCACGUGGAUCGCAGGCGAAUCGUUCGAACUUCACCGGCGAGGCUCAGUGGCGAAAACGACACGAACCACCGUACUGAUUUACCGAAUUUUAGCGAAUUUUCGCUGACCCUCGUACGUUCCAGACGUUGCAAUCUGUUGCAAGUGCACUUGCAUUCACCCGAGUAUCCGUCAUCGUUCGCCGCCAUCGCUGCCGACCAAGUGCAUGACAUCCCGUGGAUCGGUCUUGCAGUAGCACCGUCUUUCUAUGUCCGACAUCGUAUGUCCAACACUGCACUCGACCGCCCCAGACUGGCUGUAAUAAC